AGACAGGACAAGAAGGAAGUCUUUGAGUAUGCUCAGCGCGUGCCAUCAUGGGGCCAUGUUCUUCCCCUUUGCUCUUGGAGAAUAGACAAAGCUACCCAGCCCAGCCACAGCCUCAUAAUCUUGUUCUACCUCCCUCUCCAGCCUCAACUAUUUCCAGGCUCCAGCUCAAGUCAUACAUCAGGACCUGCAACCGGUGAUUGAACUACCAGUUUCUGAAGGCCACCCAUUCACACCUAUUUCCCGCUACUCCAGGUGGAAAUUGAAAAUGUAUCUCGCUGACCUCAAGGGAUGAUAUUCAGGAGCUUCAGGGAAUCUUCAGCUAAUGGGAGAAGCACAAGCAGAUUAAUGGAUCCCAAAGACAAAAUGCCUAUCCUAGCUCAAAUGACAUCUCGUGGAUCUUGAAAAGUGGAGCUUUCUGUGCCCAUCUUCAGAAAGAGACAUCAGACAAUCUUAACAUUUCUGCAGCUGAACAUGGGAUGAGAAGAGGGCAAUCUUCCAGUGGGUCCACCACAUUUUCUUUCCAAUUGAGCCAAUUCAUGGUCUCUUCUGGCAACUGCAAGGCCAGAUGUGAAUUUACCACUUUAUUGAGUGAAGCGGUCUGGGCAUUGUGAGACUCACAUAUGCACCCAGAGGGGAAGGGACCCUCACUCUGGGAAUGGAAAUCAAUUCAUAAUUGUACCCAGACAAAUGGGGCACACACUUCAGAUCUAUUACAGGAUUUAGUCGGAAUCAGAAGAACAAAGGCAUAAAGUAGAAACACAUUCAUAUGCCAGGCACAGGUAGGGGCUGGGGAGGGUAGAAAGUCCAGGGUUCCUGGCCGGCGAAGAAGGGCUCUGCUCAGCAUCUCAUGCUGGAGUGCAAGAGUAUAAAAUAAGGUAACUAAGGACAUGAAGCUUGGCCGCCUGCACCAUUUGAAAAAAGAAAAAUCAAACUGUGUUUUAUGAGUUUUUCUGGCUGAGUGGGCUGAUGGUAAAAGUGAUUGCAUAAGUGAAUAAAUUGAAAUAUGUAUCCUGGUUGUGUCAAAAGCAAAAAUAAUUAUUUUGUUCUUGGUGAGAUAUAGUGUUUAACUGCCAACACAUCAACCCAAAUAAAAAGGAAAUCUGCCUUUAGAUCUAGUAAUACAUUUAUUAACAAAUGAUGUAUCUGAAUUAUCCAUCGUUUUGAUCCACAUUUUGCAGAAAGGCA
rnacentral:lncRNA from 10 species